GGCACUUUGGCGGAGUGGUUAACGCGAUGCCCUGCUAUGUAUCGUGAGUCUCAUCGCCGCCGUCAAAAGGCGGUCAAGGGACUUCGAAGUAGUGAAGGCAUUCCCUUCGGGGGCGUGUGUUCGAAUCACACAGGUGUCG
rnacentral:tRNA from 1 species